GGGUUGUAAACCUCUUUUGUUAGGGAGCAAGGCACUUUGUGUUGAGUGUACCUUUCGAAUAAGCACCGGCUAACUACGUGCCAGCAGCCGCGGUAAUACGUAGGGUGCAAGCGUUAUCCGGAAUUAUUGGGCGUAAAGGGCUCGUAGGCGGUUCGUCGCGUCCGGUGUGAAAGUCCAUCGCUUAACGGUGGAUCCGCGCCGGGUACGGGCGGGCUUGAGUGCGGUAGGGGAGACUGGAAUUCCCGGUGUAACGGUGGAAUGUGUAGAUAUCGGGAAGAACACCAAUGGCGAAGGCAGGUCUCUGGGCCGUUACUGACGCUGAGGAGCGAAAGCGUGGGGAGCGAACAGGAUUAGAUACCCUGGUAGUCCACGCCGUAAACGGUGGAUGCUGGAUGUGGGGCCCGUUCCACGGGUUCCGUGUCGGAGCUAACGCGUUAAGCAUCCCGCCUGGGGAGUACGGCCGCAAGGCUAAAACUCAAAGAAAUUGACGGGGGCCCGCACAAGCGGCGGAGCAUGCGGAUUAAUUCGAUGCAACGCGAAGAACCUUACCUGGGCUUGACAUGUUCCCGACGAUCCCAGAGAUGGGGUUUCCCUUCGGGGCGGGUUCACAGGUGGUGCAUGGUCGUCGUCAGCUCGUGUCGUGAGAUGUUGGGUUAAGUCCCGCAACGAGCGCAACCCUCGCCCCGUGUUGCCAGCGGAUUAUGCCGGGAACUCACGGGGGACCGCCGGGGUUAACUCGGAGGAAGGUGGGGAUGACGUCAGAUCAUCAUGCCCCUUACGUCCAGGGCUUCACGCAUGCUACAAUGGCCGGUACAACGGGAUGCGACAGUGCGAGCUGGAGCGGAUCCCUGAAAACCGGUCUCAGUUCGGAUCGCAGUCUGCAACUCGACUGCGUGAAGGCGGAGUCGCUAGUAAUCGCGAAUCAGCAACGUCGCGGUGAAUGCGUUCCC
rnacentral:rRNA from 1 species